rnacentral:lncRNA from 1 species
CACUGUCAGGUGUGAAGGGCCAGGUCUGGCUGUUCCCUGGGAGUUGCUCCAUGGGGAUUCAGCCAGGCCCAGCAGGGCUGUGUUGUUCAGGCUUGGCUUGGCGCUGUUCUGAGGCAGCUGCAGGUCCUUCCUCAGGGAGUUGCAGAGUGCCUCAGUCCUCAGGGGGGAAAUCAGAGCACUGGGACAAGAGAGGCCCCUGGGGGGUUCCCUCCUGGGGUAGCCAUUCCUGCUGCCCACCCUGUCUGGCAGGGAGUGGGAGCUCUGUGGCCUCAGGAACCUGCCACUGGCUGUGCUGCCUGUGGCACUUGGGAGCUGGCAAUUGCUGUGGGGGCCAUUGUCAGGUUUAGCCUGGAGCUGAGCCCUACUGGGGGGCUGUGAGAAAGCAAGGAGCCCAAGGAGGCAGAGAGCAGGGCAGUGUGUGAGGCAGUGCCCGUUUGCAGCAAUGGAAGCCUGGCUGGGAGCUGGGGCUGCAGGCCGCUCCAUGGCGGGUGCCUUGCCUGGGGCUGCAGCGCUCAGGGCUCACCCUCUCCUCACAGUGACCUCGCAGACGGCCCCUGGUGCCGAGCGCCGAGAGGAGCUGCUCCAUGGGCAUGGGUACAAGGACACAGCCUCUGCUGAGCCACAGCAGUCCUUGCUCCAGGCACUCUCCUUGCUGGACAGCGAUGACUGGGAGAAGAAGGAGAAGGGACUCUUCAGCAUCAAACACCUGGCUGAGUCCCAUUCAGAAGUCCUGCUCUCUAGACUUCGUGACAUUUG